AGGCUUUCGUUCCACCGGCACCACAUUGGCUCAGGCCAAUCUACACCCUGUGGCCAUUAAAAGUUAUCAAAAUCAUGACGCUGCACCCCAAGGUUUAGGUUCUAGGGGGCGCCAAAGAUAACACUAAAAUCCACAUAUUUAAAAGUCUUAUAACUUUUUAUUUUUGUCCUCACUGGCCUCCAAGUUUUCUAGGAUGAUGCAAUGUCCAGCCAUCAACACAUUUGUGAAGGAAUUUUUACUCCCCAAAAGAGCGCCCCCCCAUGGCAGGAGAAAAAAGUCAAUUUUUUCUUGUCCCCUAAGGUGAAAAUACACAUUGUUGAGUGUCACGCCUAUACGCUUUGUCAAAAUGACACAAAAAUUGACACACACAUGUAACUCAAUAAGAUCUACAAAAAAGUCCAUGCGCGCGUAUCUGUCAAAUGUACAGUUAAAGGGUUAUUCCGCAUUUUUUGCCGAUACGCACACAUUGGAAUUUCGCUAACUCCUCCGAAGGCUUUCGUUCCACCGGCACCACAUUUGCUCAGGCCAAUCUACACCCCAUGGCCAUUAAAAGUUAUUCAAAUCAUGAUGCUGCACCCCAUGGUUUAGGUUCUAGGGGGCGCCAAAAAUAACCCAAAAAUCCACAUUCUUAAAUGUUUUAUAACUUUUUAUUUUUGUCCUCACUGGCCUCCAAGUUUUCUAGGAUGAUGCAAUGUCCAGCCAUCAACACAUUUGUGAAGGAAUUUUUACUCCCCAAAAGAGCGCCCCCCCAUGGUAGGAGAAAAAAGUCAAUUUUUUCUUGUCCCCUUACAUAAAAAUACACAUUGUUGAGUGUCACGCCUGAACGCUUUGCCAUAUUGACACAAAAAUUGACAAUCAUGUGUAUCUCAAUUAGAUCUACGAAAAAGUCAAAGAGCGCGUAUCUGUAUAAUGUACGGUUAAAGGGCUAUUUUGCAUUUUUUGCCGAUUCGCACACAUUGGAAUGUGGCUAUCUCCUCCUAAGGCUUUCGUCCCACCGAUACCAAAUUUGCUCAGGGCAAUCUACACCCCAUGCCCAUUCAAAGUUGUAAAAAUCAUGACGCUGCACCCCACGGUUUACGUUCUAGGGGGCGCCAAAGAUGACCCAAAAAUCCACAUUCUUAAAAGUCAUUUUGGCCACUGCAGGAGUACAGAGUACUGCAGUUCUAGGGGGCGCCAAAGAUGACCCAAAAAUCCACAUUCUUAAAAGUCUUUUUGGCCACUGCAGGAGUACAGAGUACUGCAGGAUACACACACAUAUACACACACGCCAACAUAUACACACACACACACACACACACACACACACAGACACACACACACACUCAGAGUCUGUUUUUUAGCACCUGCAAAAACAUGCUGUUUACAUAUUUGACAAGAAUGCAGAGGCUUCCUUUUGCCCCUGAAAAAAAUCAAAUUUCAAACACAACUUGACUGUUCAUUUCUCCAAAAGACAACCAUGAAGCUCCAUUUCAAACCUGAAGCAGAUAGUUGGUGCAUGUGUACAGUAACCUGAGGGGAGUGAGGUGACUAUUUCUGAGGAGAACAUGAGCAGUGAAGAUUCACCUUGGAGCUAGAACAGGGACGUGCACAUGAUUAUACAGGGGCAGGGGCUCAAGUUUUUUCCAGUCAUUUAUACAAUAUGGAAAUUAAUGUGAAAUUAAACCACAAAUAUGUGUGAUGAACUGUUUUUAAAACUUAAACUUCAAAUAAAAAUUGUAAACUUCAAAACAUAUGCAAAUUUUUAACAAAGAACAUAGUAAUUUACCUCUAUUUACAUCAAAAUGCAGGCAAUGGCCCAGGCGUUCUUUGUAAAAUUAUUUACAAAACACUGUAUAGUCUCACAAAUGUCACUUUUUAUUUAUGCCACUACAAAAAAACAUGAUGUAAAUGAUGCAUGAUGUAAAACAUGAUGUAAAAAACUUGUGUAGAUCCUCCUCUAUGUCAGUCCAUGUGUAAUUUUUCCAUAAUUCUUUGUUUUUUGCAGCAUUUUUGUUAGUGUAACUGCAGAUUGUGCUGACAGUGUCUAUGGCAAAAAAAAAAAAAAAAACUGAAAAUGCCUCAACAUGAACCCCUGGUGGUCUCUGAGGGUGAAACCUGCUAACUGCUGCAGCUCUGUCAGCUUUAGUCUCCCAUGCAGAGCUCGGAGCGCAUGUGUGGCUCUGCACCCUUAGCAGCGUUGCUAACUCCUCAGUAAGGAAAGCCUGCUUCAUGUCAGAGUCUCUAAACUCCAGAGGAAGUCGAUAAAAUUCCCUUUCUUUCUAAAAAAAAAAGUCGUUAGGGGGUCUGAAAAGUCAUUGAAUCUAACAACAAAGUCGCUAGGUUUGCAACUACGUGUCCCAGACUGCAUCCCUGCUGAGAGUCCCUCCCUCGCUUCUCAUGUUGCAGGAAGAACGUAAGCGCCCGCCCCUUGUCAAUCAGUCACCAUAUAAUUUUGGAUUGGUUGUUGUGGUGAAGUUUUCCACCAAUAGGAGAGAUGUUGUGGUGUGUUUUUUUUUUCUUUUGGCAAGCCUUUUCCGCCUGUAAGACCUGUCGCUAAUGUCUGCAUGCUAUGUUUUCCUGUCUCAUACAGCGCGAUCGAGCGCCGAACGUGAUCAAAAUAAGCAGAAAAAAAGUAUCGCGGACAUAAUUUAUCAUAACUCUGGUUUUAUUUAUCUGCUAAGCAGCUGCGAGAGCCCUAUUAUUCCCCAAGUGGUUUUUCUUUGUUUCUUUCUUUAGGGCCCGAGCGUAGCUGCUAAGCAGCUGCGAGAGCCCUAUUAUUCCCCAAGUGGUUUUUCUUUGUUUCUUUCUUUCUUUAGGGCCCGAGCGUAGCUGCUAAGCAGCUGCGAGAGCCCUAUUAUUCCCCAAGUGGUUUUUCUUUGUUUCUUUCUUUAGGGCCCGAGCCAGCUGCAGAGCAGCCGGGCGUAGGCCCUAUUAUUCCCCAAGUGGUUUUUCUUUGUUUCUUUCUUUCUUUUUAGGGCCCGAGCGUAGCUGCUAAGCAGCUGCGAGAGCCCUCUUGUUCCUGCAUGUUUCCUUCUUUUUAGGGCCCGAGCGUAGCUGCUAAGCAGCUGCGAGAGCCCUGUUGUUCCUGAUGGAUUCUUCUUUAGGGCCCGAGCGUAGCUGCUAAGCAGCUGCGAGAGCCCUCUUGUUCCUGCAUGUUUCCUUCUUUCGUUAUUAUUUUUCCUCCGCUUUAAACUGGAAAAUGGCCCACUUCCCACUGGCAAAAACUCAGGAAAUUUGGCAGGACGACCGGGCCUGGUGAAAAAUUCGAUAUUCUGAAGUCGCCCAAACAAUAAAAUGCAAAAUGGCUCCAUAGCGCCCCCUAAGGUGAAAAUUCACAUGACGGCUGUACGCUUUGUCAUAUUGACACAAAAAUUGACACACACAUGUAUCUCAAUAAGAUCUACAAAAAAGUCAGUGCGGGCGUAUCUGUCAAAUGUACGGUUAAUGGGUUAUUUUGCAUUUUUUGCAGAUCUGCACACAUUGGAAUUUCGCUAACUCCUCCGAAGGCUUUCGUUCGACCGGCACCACAUUUGCGCAGGCCAAUCUACCCCCCAUGGCCAUUAAAAGUUGUACAAAUCAUGACGCUGCACCCCACGGUUUAGGUUCUAGGGGGCGCCAAAGAUAACCCAAAUAUCCACAUUCUUAAAAGUCUUAUAACUUUUUAUUUUUGUCCUCACUGCCCUCCAAGUUUUCUAGGAUGAUGCAAUGUCCAGCCAUCAACACAUUUGUGAAGGAAUUUUUACUCCCCAAAAGAGCGCCCCCCCCAUGGCAGGAGAAAAAAGUCCAUUUUUUCUUGUCCCCUUACAUGAAAAUACACAUUGUUGAGUGUAACACCUGUACGCUUUGGCAAAAUGACACAAAAAUUGACACACACAUGUAUCUCAAUAAGAUCUACGAAAAAGUCAAUGCGCGCGUAUCUGUCAAAUGUACAGUUAAAGGGUUAUUCCGCAUUUUUUGCCGAUCCGCACACAUUGGAAUUUCGCUAACUCCUCCGAAGGCUUUCGUUCCACCGGCACCACAUUUGCUCAGGCCAAUCUACACCCCAUGGCCAUUAAAAGUUAUUCAAAUCAUGACGCUGCACCCCACGGUUUAGGUUCUAGGGGGCGCCAAAGAUAACCGUAAAAUCCACAUAUUUAAAAGUCUUAUAACUUUUUAUUUUUGUCCCCACUGGCCUCCAAGUUUUCUAGGAUGAUGCAAUGUCCAGCCAUCAACACAUUUGUGAAGGAAUUUUUACUCUCCAAAAGAGCGCCCCCCCAUGGCAGGAGAAAAAAGUCCAUUUUUUCUUGUCCACUAAGGUGAAAAUACAUAUUGUUGAGAUUCACGCCUAUACGCUUUGUCAUAUUGACACAAAAAUUGACAAUCAUGUGUAUCUUAAUUAGAUCUACGAAAAAGUCAAAGAGCGCGUAUCUGUAUAAUGUACGGUUAAAGGGUUAUUUUGCAUUUUUUGCUGAUUCGCACACAUUGGAAUGUGGCUAUCUCCUCCUAAGGCUUUCGUCCCACCGAUACCAAAUUUGCUCAGGGCAAUCUACACCCCAUGCCCAUUCAAAGUUGUAAAAAUCAUGACGCUGCACCCCACGGUUUAGGUUCUAGGGGGCGCCAAAGAUGACCCAAAAAUCCACAUUCUUAAAAGUCAUUUUGGCCACUGCAGGAGUACAGAGUACUGCAGUUCUAGGGGGCGCCAAAGAUGACCCAAAAAUCCACAUUCUUAAAAGUCUUUUUGGCCACUGCAGGAGUACAGAGUACUGCAGGAUACACACACAUAUACACACACGCCAACAUACACACACACACACACACACACACACAGACACACACCCACACUCAGAGUCUGUUUUUUAGCACCUGCAAAAACAUGCUGUUUACAUAUUUGACAAGAAUGCAGAGGCUUCCUUUUGCCCCUGAAAAAAAUCAAAUUUCAAACACAACUUGACCGUUCAUUUCUCCAAAAGACAACCAUGAAGCUCCAUUUCAAACCUGAAGCAGAUAGUUGGUGCAUGUGUACAGUAACCUGAGGGGAGUGAGGUGACUAUUUCUGAGGAGAACAUGAGCAGUGAAGAUUCACCUUGGAGCUAGAACAGGGACGUGCACAUGAUUAUACAGGGGCUCAAGUUUUUUCCAGUCAUUUAUACAAUAUGGAAAUUAAUGUGAAAUUAAACCACAAAUAUGUGUGAUGAACUGUUUUUAAAACUUAAACUUCAAAUAAAAAUUGUAAACUUCAAAACAUAUGCAAAUUUUUAACAAAGAACAUAGUAAUUUACCUCUAUUUACAUCAAAAUGCAGGCAAUGGCCUAGGCGUUCUUUGUAAAAUUAUUUACAAAACAAUGUAUAGUCUCACAAAUGUCACUUUUUAUUUAUGCCACUACAAAAAAACAUGAUGUAAAUGAUGCAUGAUGUAAAACAUGAUGUAAAAAACUUGUGUAGAUCCUCCUCUAUGUCAGUCCAUGUGUAAUUUUUCCAUAAUUCUUUGUUUUUUGCAGCAUUUUUGUUAGUGUAACUGCAGAUUGUGCUGACAGUGUCUAUGGCAAAAAAAAAAAAAAAAUUAAAAUGCCUCAACAUGAACCCCUGGUGGUCUCUGAGGGUGAAACCUGCUAACUGCUGCAGCUCUGUCAGCUUCAGUCUCCCAUGCAGAGCUCUGAGCGCAUGUGUGGCUCUGCACCCUUAGCAGCGUUGCUAACUCCUCAGUAAGGAAAGCCUGCUUCAUGUCAGAGUCUCUAAACUCCAGAAGAAGUCGAUAAAAGUCCCUUUCUUUCUAAAAAAAAGUCGUUAGGGGGUCUGAAAAGUCAUUGAAUCUAACAACAAAGUCGCUAGGUUUGCAACUACGUGUCCCAGACUGCAUCCCUGCUGAGAGUCCCUCCCUCGCUUCUCAUGUUGCAGGAAGAACGUAAGCGCCCGCCCCUUGUCAAUCAGUCACCAUAUAAUUUUGGAUUGGUUGUUGUGGUGAAGUUUUCCACCAAUAGGAGAGAUGUUGUGGUGUGUUUUUUUUUUCUUUUGGCAAGCCUUUUCCGCCUGUAAGACCUGUCCCUAAUGUCUGCAUGCUAUGUUUUCCUGUCUCAUACAGCGCGAUCGAGCGCCGAACGUGAUCAAAAUAAGCAGAAAAAAAGUAUCGCGGACAUAAUUUAUCAUAACUCUGGUUUUAUUUGGCCUAUCAACACAAUUUAAAAACUGGUAUAUAGGUUGAGGUCCUCACUUUUGAGAUAAGUUGAAACGGAGAGUCAACGAGGCUCCGUCUUGCAGCUACAUCCGGUUAAAUAUGUCAUGUGACUUGAACGCACACAUAGACACACACACACGCACACACACACACACACACACACACACACACACUCAGAGUCUGGUUUUUAGCACCUGCAAAAACAUGCUAUUUACAUAUUUGACAAGAAUGCAGAGGCUCCUUUUGCCCCUGAAAAAAAUCAAAUUUCAAACACAACUUGACUGGUCAUUUCUCCAAAAGACAACCAUGAAGCUCCAUCCAAACCUGAAGCAGGCAGUUGGUGCAUGUGUACAGUAACCUGAGGGGAGUGAGGUGAGUGCUUCUGAGGAGAACAUGAGCAGUGAAGAUUCACCUUGGAGCUAGAACAGAGACAUGCACAUGAUUAUACAGGGGCAGGGGCUCAAGUUUUUUCCAGUCGUUUAUACAAUAUGGAAAUUAAUGUGAAAUUAAAACACAAAGUAUUAAUAGAAAGGUAAUGACUGUCCUGUGUAGGUGACAGUGAUAUCCAACGCGACACGGCUCGGGCCCGCCAGUGCCCCAACGGGGUCCUAGUUCUUCUUCUUCUUCUUAUUAUUUUUCUGCCCCUUUGAACUGGAAAAUGGCCCACUUCCCACUGGUGAAAACUCAUGAAAUUUGGCAGGACAACCGGGCCUGGUGAAAAAUUCGAUAUUCUGAAGCCGCCCAAACAAUCAAAUGCAAAAUGGCUCCAUAGCGCCCCCUAAGGUGAAAAAUUCACAUGAUUGAGUGUCACGCCUGUACGCUUUGUCAAAAUGACACAAAAUUUGACACACACGUGUAUCUCAAUAAGAUCUACAAAAAAGUCAGCGCGGGCGUAUCUGUCAAAUGUACGGUUAAAGGGCUAUUUCGCAUUUUUUGCCGAUCCGCACACAUUGGAAUUUCGCUAACUCCUCCGAAGGCUUUCGUUCCACCGGCACCAAAUUUGCUCAGGCCAAUCUACACCCCAUGGCCAUUCAAAGUUGUACAAAUCAUGACGCUGCACCCCACGGUUUACGUUCUAGGGGGCGCCAAAGAUAACCCAAAAAUCCACAUUCUUAAAAGUCUUAUAACUUUUUACUUUUGUCCUCACUGGCCUCCAAGUUUUCUAGGAUGAUGCAAUGUCCAGCCAUCAACACAUUUGUGAAGGAAUUUUUACUCCCCAAAAGAGCGCCCCCCCAUGGCAGGAGAAAAAGGUCCAUUUUUUCUUGUCCCCUAAGGUGAAAAUACAUAUUGUUGAGUGUCACGCCUAUACGCUUUGUCAUAUUGACACAAAAUUUGACACACACGUGUAUCUCAAUAAGAUCUACAAAAAAGUCAGCGCGGGCGUUUCUGUUCAAUGUACGGUUAAAGGGCUAUUUCGCAUUUUUUGCCGAUACGCACACAUUGGAAUUUCGCUAACUCCUCUGAAGGCUUUCGUUCCACCGGCACCAAAUUUGCUCAGGCCAAUCUACACCCCAUGGCCAUUCAAAGUUGUAAAAAUCAUGAUGCUGCACCCCACGGUUUACGUUCUAGGGGGCGCCAAAGAUAACCCAAAAAUCCACAUUCUUAAAAGUCUUAUAACUUAUUAUUUUUGUCCUGACUGGCUUCCAAGUUUUCUAGGAUGAUGCAAUGUCUAGCCAUCAACACAUUUGUGAAGGAAUUUUUACUCCCUAAAAGAGUGCCCCCCCAUGGUAGGAGAAAAAGUCCAGUUUUUCCUGCCCAUCGCUCAAUGGCUCAAACACAUCGCCCUCUCGGCAAAACCGAAAGGAGUAACAACUUGCCAUUUGGAUAUAUCCUAGCUGUGUUUGUGCCCUCACUCAUGGUCCAGACUUUUUUCAAAUAGGACAUGGAGUUUGUCUGCAGCGAGCGUUUUGGUAGAAACUGCGCCUCCCAUUCAUUAUAAUGGUAAAUGACCACAGACAAGUGCGCACACCAUCUUUGGACCUUGAGUGUGAUGCGAUCGGGAGGGAGAGGCGGUCGUGUUGGGGGCGGCGCGACACAGCUCGGGCCCGCCAGUGCCCCAACGGGGCCCUAGUUUUUUCUUUUUCCUCCCCUUUGAACUGGAAAAUGGCCCACUUCCCACUGGCGAAAACUCAUGAAAUUUGGCAGGAUGACCGGGCCUGGUGAAAAAUUUGAUAUUCUGAAGUCGCCCAAACAAUACAAUGCAAAAUGGCUCCAUAGCGCCCCCUAAGGUGAAAAAUUCACCUGACGCCUGUACGCUUUGUCAAAAUGACACAAAAAUUGACACACACAUGUAUCUCAAUAAGAUCUACAAAAAAGUCAGUGCGGGCGUAUCUGUCAAAUGUACGGUUAAAGGGUUAUUGCGCAUUUUUUGCCAAUCCGCACACAUUGGAAUUUCGCUAACUCCUCCGAAGGCUUUCGUUCCACCGGCACCACAUUUGCUCAGGCCAAUCUACACCCCAUGGCCAUUAAAAGUUAUUCAAAUCAUGACGCUGCACCCCACGGUUUAGGUUCUAGGGGGCGCCAAAGAUAACCCUAAAAUCCACAUAUUUCAAAGUCUUAUAACUUUUUAUUUUUGCCCUCACUGGCCUCCAAGUUUUCUAGGAUGAUGCAAUGUCCAGCCAUCAACACAUUUGUGAAGGAAUUUUUACUCCCCAAAAGAGCGCCCCCCCAUGGCAGGAGAAAAAAGUCCAUUUUUUCUUGUCCCAUAAGGUGAAAAUUCACACUAUUGACUGUCACGCCUGUAUGCUUUGUCAAAAUUACACAAAAAUUGACACACACAUGUAUCUCAAUAAGAUCUACAAAAAAGUCAAUGCGCGCGUAUCUGUCAAAUGUACAGUUAAAGGGUUAUUCCGCAUUUUUUGCCGAUACGCACACAUUGGAAUUUCGCUAACUCCUCCGAAGGCUUUCGUUCCACCGGCACCACAUUUGCUCAGGCCAAUCUACACCCCAUGGCCAUUAAAAGUUAUUCAAAUCAUGAUGCUGCACCCCAUGGUUUAGGUUCUAGGGGGCGCCAAAAAUAACCCAAAAAUCCACAUUCUUAAAUGUUUUAUAACUUUUUAUUUUUGUCCUCACUGGCCUCCAAGUUUUCUAGGAUGAUGCAAUGUCCAGCCAUCAACACAUUUGUGAAGGAAUUUUUACUCCCCAAAAGAGCGCCCCCCCAUGGUAGGAGAAAAAAGUCAAUUUUUUCUUGUCCCCUUACAUGAAAAUACACAUUGUUGAGUGUCACGCCUGAACGCUUUGUCAUAUUGACACAAAAAUUGACAAUCAUGUGUAUCUCAAUUAGAUCUACGAAAAAGUCAAAGAGCGCGUAUCUUUAUAAUGUACGGUUAAAGGGCUAUUUUGCAUUUUUUGCCGAUUCGCACACAUUGUAAUGUGGCUAUCUCCUCCUAAGGCUUUCGUCCCACCGAUACCAAAUUUGCUCAGGGCAAUCUACACCCCAUGCCCAUUCAAAGUUGUAAAAAUCAUGACGCUGCACCCCACGGUUUACGUUCUAGGGGGCGCCAAAGAUGACCCAAAAAUCCACAUUCUUAAAAGUCAUUUUGGCCACUGCAGGAGUACAGUACUGCAGUUCUAGGGGGCGCCAAAGAUGACCCAAAAAUCCACAUUCUUAAAAGUCUUUUUGGCCACUGCAGGAGUACAGAGUACUGCAGGAUACACACACAUAUACACACACACCAACAUACACACACACACACACACACACACACACACACACACAGACACACACACACACUCAGAGUCUGUUUUUUAGCACCUGCAAAAACAUGCUGUUUACAUAUUUGACAAGAAUGCAGAGGCUUCCUUUUGCCCCUGAAAAAAAUCAAAUUUCAAACACAACUUGACUGUUCAUUUCUCCAAAAGACAACCAUGAAGCUCCAUUUCAAACCUGAAGCAGAUAGUUGGUGCAUGUGUACAGUAACCUGAGGGGAGUGAGGUGACUAUUUCUGAGGAGAACAUGAGCAGUGAAGAUUCACCUUGGAGCUAGAACAGGGACGUGCACAUGAUUAUACAGGGGCAGGGGCUCAAGUUUUUUCCAGUCAUUUAUACAAUAUGGAAAUUAAUGUGAAAUUAAACCACAAAUAUGUGUGAUGAACUGUUUUUAAAACUUAAACUUCAAAUAAAAAUUGUAAACUUCAAAACAUAUGCAAAUUUUUAACAAAGAACAUAGUGAUUUACCUCUAUUUUCAUCAAAAUGCAGGCAAUGGCCCAGGCGUUCUUUGUAAAAUUAUUUACAAAACACUGUAUAGUCUCACAAAUGUCACUUUUUAUUUAUGCCACUACAAAAAAACAUGAUGUAAAUGAUGCAUGAUGUAAAACAUGAUGUAAAAAACUUGUGUAGAUCCUCCUCUAUGUCAGUCCAUGUGUAAUUCUUCCAUAAUUC
rnacentral:lncRNA from 1 species